GGCACUGGCUACGGUUACAUGGAAAUGUAACAAUAAUAAAAAUAUUAUUGUUACAUUGGAGACUAAUUGCCGGAAUGCAAAGUUGGUUAUACUGUUAAUUGAAUGUACAAUAAUUAUUGAGGCUGUUACAUUGCGUUAUUGUUACAUGAAAAACAGCAAUGUAUGCUAGAUUUAUUAAACUUAAAUCUUCUAUAGUUUUGUUGCUUAUUUUUUUUAUAUGUACUAAAUAAUACUUGUAAUAAUUAUAAAUAAUAAAUAUUACUAUUCAACAGAGACAUAUAAUACAAUUAUAUGUCUCUGUAUUCAACAAAUGGUGUUUAAAUAGUUUUAUGUAUUAAUGGUUUUGAUGUUCUUAAAUAUACUACUUCAGAUUAGUAGUGCCAAAGGCGAAAACAUAUAGUUCAAUGGUUUGUUGUUGAGAACUCUGACUAAGGAAAGUGUUUACUUUUAAGUAUCUAACUG
rnacentral:lncRNA from 1 species